UACAGAGGAUGCAAGCGUUAUCCGGAAUGAUUGGGCGUAAAGCGUGCGCAGGCGGUUUUGUAAGUCUGACGUGAAAUCCCCGGGCUUAACCUGGGAAUUGCGUUGGAGACUGCAAGGCUGGAGUCUGGCAGAGGGGGGUAGAAUUCCACGUGUAGCAGUGAAAUGCGUAGAGAUCAUGAGGAAGACCAGUGGCGAAGGCGGGUCUCUGGACAGUUCCUGACACUGAGACACGAAGGCCAGGGGAGCAAACGGG
rnacentral:rRNA from 1 species